AUCACUGGGAGGAGAGUCGGGGGUCGUAGCCAGGUAACCGUCGUUGUCGAACGGGCGAGUUGAGCCGGUGGUCGGGACUGAGUCGUCUUCGGGCUGAGUGAACGAGGCCAUGAUCAAGUCAAGUGCACCGAUGACCGAAAUGCCGAGCGAAAUGCCCCCAAAGGCAAAACUCACGCAGAAAAAAUAUCGGCACGCUUUAUGUUGGGCUAGCCCGACUCAGUGGGCCUUCAUUGGGUUCGUAAGUUUAAUUCACUUCCCCCAAGCCCGUUCCUGCUCCUCAACUUCUUCCUUCCUGCUCGAUUUGGAUUGGAACGAAAAAGCUCCAACAUGGGAUCAAUUUCUUCCCCCUCACUGAUUAUUUAUUUCGGUAUUUCAUGCAUAUUGAUUUUUUUCAUUUUUAUUAAUUUUGGUUAUGUGAUUAGUGAUUUUUGUUCUUCAUUAUAUUUUGGGUUUUCCUUUCUGUUGUUUUUAGGGUUUUUUGCUCUGCAAAUUUCGAUCAAAUUGCCUCCAUUUGAAUUAUUUUGUAAUUAUCUUAAUCUAUAUUGGGUGGAAUUGGGCCUUUCCAUUCUCCAAAAUCUUUGUUAGGGAUUACAUUUUGCUUAAAUUUUGUGAGAUUAAAAAAAGAUUGGGACUUUUUUCUGAUUUUAAAUUAUUUACACAGUUCCAAAGCACUGCGUGUUAAACACUGGAAUUUUGAUUCGGAUUGUAGUAAUUUCCGUACAAGUUAAAACUUUUGUGUGGAAUUGGUGCAACUUUUGGGGUUUGUGUGAUGUUAUUUUGAUUAGUUGUUGACUAAAAUUUGGUUCUUUUGAUUUGGGUUUGGUUAAUUGAAUAAAAUUGUGGUUUAUGAUAUUGAAUCAAUGGAAAAUGUGACUUUCACAAGCUCCAAGCCUGUGUCAACCAUAGAGAUCUCAAUAUGUAUCUAAAAUUUGCUUCAGACACUGGUGGAAAAAUGUAUUUAACAUUUUACGUUCAUAUGCAUAGGCUCGACUUCUAAAAACGUGCAAAGCUGUGCUUCACAAGUUUACAAUGCCUGUCAAGUGCAGCACAUACAUUUGUGUUGUAUAAUUGUAUUCGAUAAGGAUAAUAGUAUCACUGCACCUUAUUCCUUGACACCUUGGCCUUCUUGAGUCGUCGUUGGAGCAUUGCAAAUCAGUUUUCCGACUCAAUAUCAUCGUGUUCAGUAAUUCGGCUAGUAAUUUUUGGCAUAAUCCAUUUGAAAAUUUUAGUUGUUUUUGUUGUUGGUUAUAUUUAUUUGUCAAAGUAAUGAUUUUGGUUUCAUGGUCAGCUCAUGAUGAGUAUGAUCAUGAUCCGUCAAAAGCUGGGGAGCUUGAAGUGGCAAUUUUGUUCUUAAAGUUAAUCAUCCACUGCUUCUUUGUUGAUUCAUGUUUGCUUCUCCAACUCUCUCUUGCAGUAGAACUACAUCUGCGAUCAAGCAGGCUCUUCGAGCUUCAGUCCGGGGCUUUCCCAGCUCGAGUUCUUCUUUCUCAGUACCCAGCUCUAGUCCUCAGGUGAGAAAACACAGAGAGCCAGCAAAGCUUCGUAGAGAGGAGGCAUGAGUUUCCUAUGAUGUGGAAUUAUCUACAAAAAAGGUUCUCAAAGGUGGUUACAGUGGGGACCAAUAUUCAGAACACAGUGGACAAGUCUUUACAAGCUAAUCCUACCGGCCCCUGGACUGGAUGUAUGGUUUGGUUUUAUAUCAGGAGAGGUGGCCGUCCCUUUGUUGGGAAGUGUUCUCGGCGUAUGUGAAGCUAAGGAACAUGUGGUCACAUUGGAGGAUUAUUCGGUUUUUGCUGUGGCGUUUUUCGUCUUUGUGAUGGUAUGGUACCAGUAUGAUUGUUUAUGGUCUCACUUAAACAUUAAGAGCAACUUCACCCCUAAAGACUUUGUGUCAGCAUCCAGCCCAUUUAUCCACUUCAGUGAACAGUAAUAGACCCUAAUAAACAAUAAUAGGCUAAAACAUCUCCACCAAAAAAAAAAUGUGCUGGCACAAACAAUCUUCACCCCUACAAAAUGUGUUAGCACCCAGUCAAUUUAAAAUAUUAAAUAAUUUUUUUAUAAAAUAAUAAAAAAAAAUAGUUUUAAUUUCA